rnacentral:ncRNA from 1 species
UAAUACACCGAGCCACCUGUUCUAAGUCCCGGGACUCUUUCCUGAAGAACGCGAGAUAAGAGCAUUUGGCCGCGGGCAGCACUGCUAGCCCGCCAGGGUCGCGAGGGAAACCGAACGGCCUCCCGCAUUUGGAAAGGUGAUGAGACA